UCCAAAAAGCGGUUUCGAGUUGCAGCCGACUCUGGCUCUCUGACAUCUGAGAAGACAAACAAAAUCGAUUUGAAAAAAUUGAGUUGCAGCAUCGUGGGCAAGUUCAUUCUGGUUCCUGCAGCCCAAGUUCAAUUCUGUUUGUAAUUAGAAUCAGAAUUAGAAUUGUAUCCUCGAGAGUCUUGCGAGGGCGGUUAAGCAAGUGGAUUUGGUCCCCAUAUCAUCGGAGCAGCUUGAGAAGAGAGGGCACUUCCCUAAACACUGGAAAAACCGUGGUACUGGUUGCUUAUGCUGUGAAGAAAAUAGCCAGAACACCUUGUUAUGAACACAAGGUCUAAAGGGGCUGCAUAAGAUUGGAAUUUGUCUGUUUAGAGUCUCAUUCCUUGCCAAACCUAAAUUUGUACGACUAUUUUGAGUUACUGAGUUGUUGAGCAACAUUAUAAGCUCCGGGAUCCCUUCUUUGUAUUUAAACACCGACUAUUUUUGUACAGUUGUUGCAACAGUUAUGGCUUUAUGCCUUUGGAGUCUUGGACAAUGGUUGUUCGUCCCAACUCUGGGAUCCCUGCUUUAUGCUUUUCCUGAUCUUGCUAUGCUCAUUGCAUUCCUUUUUCAGUUCUGCUUCCCUGUAAUUUCUAAGUCGAUAGAGCUCCUUGAUAUAGUAAUGCAGCCUAUCUAUCAUCAGUGCCAAGAAUAUGGAAAACCCUGCAGUACAAAAAAAAUCGUUAAUAGCAACAAAAAGGGAGUCACAUUCAACAAUGCUAUAUGAAGAGCAUAAGAGAGAAUUAAGAUGGUCGGUCCAAAUUCCAAACUGAUUUGGACCCGAGGAUUGUCCGGUGCAUAUGAGAUAAUUUUCAAUUCAUAUUCAUAGGAAAAAAAAUUCAAUUAGUAGAAAGAAAAAAUUACAAGAGAUCGACGAAUGUAGAAAUUAUUCUAGAAAAGGGUAAACAAUGAGUUAUUUGGAUAUAAUUAAUUGAUG